UUUUCUCUUUCUCUCCUCUCUUAAUUUCCCUGCUACUUCCGUUUCCUCCAUUAUUUCUCUGCCCUGCUAUUUUUUUUUCUUGUUAUUUCGUUUAAACUCAUUACACAAGAGUAUGAGGAUUUGAUUUAUUUGGAUCAAAUGAUGAAGAUAACUAUUGUUGCUGAGAUUUACAAUCUAGAGUUUGAUUUUGAUGAAAGAAGAAGGUAAAGGGAGAUUAUAUGAUUCAUUAUAAAACUCAAGUCUCAAUACAAUGUAGACUAAUGUGAAGAGUGUGUGAAUUGUGAGUGUGCGAUGUGUGUCGUAUGUACGUGUGAGCCUAAUGUGAAGAGGAGAGAAUCGAGUCUGAUAUAUAAAACUCAAGUUUGUCCUGUAACUAAAAUAAUCUUUCUCUUAAUCAAUUCAUUGAUUCAACCCGUCUCAAUACAAUGUAGACAUUCGAUUUAUCGAAUUCUAUCAUGGUAUCAGACUCAGAAAUCAUGAAUUCAUGAGGGUAUCAAUCCAAUUUUUCCACUGAUUCACCUGAAUAUUCAUCUCCUGUUGUUGUUCAUCAACAACAUCUUACAACUCUGAUUGUUCUUCAUCAAAAAUCCAAAGAUUGUUCUUCAUACUACAAAUAAUUACAUCUCAGAUCUAGAUUACUUACAACAACAUCUUACAAUUUCAUCCGCAACCAAAGAUUUCCAUCGUAAUUAACUUGUUUUUGCAGCUAAUUUCUUCAUCAAGAUCUGCUGCUCUUGAUUCCUGAUGCCGAGAUAUUCUGAGCGUGUUCUAGUCCGCUACACUACGGCCUAGUUAGGGAGAAAACUUAAAUCCGUUCCACUGAUUGGAUUCAACAGAAGAUUGAGAAGUUGUUGGUCUCAUAUCUUCCUUCAAGGCAGUCCUCACAUAUGUGUUGAAGAAUCUUGCAUUUUACAUGAUGUUUCUGAAUUUGAAUUUCGUAUUGGAGUUGGAAUGUACGAAUUAACAGGUUUGAGUUCUUCUAAUUUUCAUCAAUUCUAUUCAUAGAGUUUGUUUUCAUGGAAAGUAUGCAGUUGUGAUUAUUGAUAUUAAGUAGUGUGAGGUUGUAUCUGAUCCUGAUGCUAGUAUUCCAACGUCAUCAAGAGGAUUAAGCAUGAUUUUGGAUCUAAAACUCAGUUUUGGGGUUUGAGAUCUUGGUAUUUCAAUUUCCAGUUUGGUUUUUUUGGGUUGAAAUUACUUAUCUCAUCAACUGAAAUUUGAGUCUCUGCUGGUAAUCUCAAACUUUAUCUUUAGAUUACUUUAGUUUUAACAUCAUGUGUUCAUCUUCUACAUCACUAGCUCAACAACAUACAAUUCUAUCUUCAAAACCUGUUUUCAUCAUAACUAGGUUUGUGGUAACUAGUUCUUUCAUCAAGUCCUACUUGUGCUGAUACCUGGCGCUUUUAAGUCUGAGCAUGCCUAUCUCCUCUACACCUUGUCUAGAUAAGAGAGAAGCGUAAAGUUGUUCUACUUGAAAGUGAGGAAAAUCUCAUCUUAAAUCACAGAAGUGUAUUGAUGUGUGUAUGGAAUGAGAGUUUGCUGCACUAUAUGUGCUUAAUUUGAUCGUUAUCAGUUCAUCCUAUUGGUACUGGAUUUGGUACAGUCCUCCUUUUAUGAGUGAGUUGGCUUACGAGUUCAAAUGAUGAAACUGAAGAUGAUGUUUUGGGAUUGAAAUUGGGGAGUUACAUAAGUACAAGCUGAUGUUCUCUCUGAUGAGUCGACAUUCAAUUCCGGUGUAUCCUGGUUUAGUUAUCUUUUCCAUUGUUUUUCAUGUUUCUGAAUACUGCCAGAUUAUCUCUUUCUUGCUGGUUUCGUUACUUCUGUUGGUGAAUAAUAUGGGUAUUUUAAGUGCUUUCUAUAAACAGCUUCAGCUUUGGUUGCUGUUUUCAAUAUUUCUUUAUUUGCGAAUAAUAUUGUUUCAAGAAUAUCAGGGUUGCAGAGACUUGUGAGUUGUUGCUUCUGAUUUUACCAUAUGGAGCCAAGUCAGGUGCUAGUUCUUAAUGAGCCAAAAGCCUUCAUGUUGUUUGUGGUUGCUGUUGGCAGUUUGCAGUCACUUGCGUUUCUUUGUAUGCAUUUAUUUUGGUGGUUUACUGUUGCUUCUUUAUAAAUAUGCAUUAACCUAUCCCUCCAACGUCAUGAGGUCUUUAAUACUUCAGUUGUACGGUUAUGAGAGUGCGUGUUGGUAUGAUGCAUUGCUUGCAGUUCACUACAACUGCUUGGAUUUAACUUGUCUGACUUGUGUCUCUCUUUUGGUUACCUAUUUUACUGCAUCAACCACUAUUUUUGCUGCUCCUUCAAGUUCUUCUAUUGGACGCUAGUGUGUGUAAGUGUUUGGAUGCAAGCUUCUUUGCCGAUUUCAGAUGUUAUACAGCAAAAUUAUGCAUUUAGUUGGUGCUGAGUGGUUAAGUGGGUGUGAUAUUUGUGCUGGUUUAUUCUUCUAUUCAUGUAUGUGUGCAGGGUGAUACUCUCAAUUCUGACUGUCAAUAUGGCCUGUAAUAUUAUUCUGUCAGAAUCGGCAUUUUUAAAUCAGUUGGAUGCUGCUCUAGUUCUUCUACAAGGCUGAUAUACUUUUACCUGCACCAACUGUUGUUGCGUCAUCACCUGCUAUUCAUACUUAUUUCUCAAUCUGCCAUGUUUCGUCUGCAACAACCACUACCAACCUACUAUUUUUUUUUUGUCUGCAACAAGUCGUAACCGUGCCUGCAGUUUUUCGUUCCCAACUUGGGUGUUUCUACUGUUGGUAUUUGCUGGUUUGUGUGUGAGUUGUGAGUGCAAUCUCAAGUUUUCUUUUAGAGACCACUUAAGAUUGAGGGAGCGUAAUAACAUAGAGUGUGUGAGUUGUGAGUGUGAUGUGUGUGUCGUAUGUACAUGUGAGCCUAAUGUGAAGAGGAGAGAAUCGAGUCUGGAUAUAUAAAACCCAAGUCUGUACUGUAACUAAAAUAAUCUUUCUCUUAAUCAAUUCAUUGAUUCAAACCGUCUCAA